AGAGUUUGAUCCUGGCUCAGGACGAACGCUGGCGGCGUGCUUAACACAUGCAAGUCGAACGAUGAAGCUGGAGCUUGCUCCGGUGGAUUAGUGGCGAACGGGUGAGUAACACGUGAGCAACCUGCCCUUCACUCUGGGAUAACUGCGGGAAACUGUAGCUAAUACCGGAUAUUAGGAUCCGAGGCAUCUCGGAUCUUGGAAAGAAUUUCGGUGAAGGAUGGACUCGCGGCCUAUCAGCUUGUUGGUGAGGUAAUGGCUCACCAAGGCGACGACGGGUAGCCGGCCUGAGAGGGUGACCGGCCACACUGGAACUGAGACACGGUCCAGACUCCUACGGGAGGCAGCAGUGGGGAAUAUUGCACAAUGGGCGCAAGCCUGAUGCAGCAACGCCGCGUGAGGGACGAAGGCCUUCGGGUUGUAAACCUCUUUUAGCAGGGAAGAAGCGAAAGUGACGGUACCUGCAGAAAAAGCACCGGCUAACUACGUGCCAGCAGCCGCGGUAAUACGUAGGGUGCAAGCGUUGUCCGGAAUUAUUGGGCGUAAAGAGCUCGUAGGCGGUUUGUCGCGUCUGCUGUGAAAACUGGAAGCUCA
rnacentral:rRNA from 1 species